CGCCCGCCCGCCAGCGCGCGCCGCCCCCGCCCGCCAUGGCCCGGGACUACGACCACCUCUUCAAGCUGCUCAUCAUCGGCGACAGCGGUGUGGGCAAGAGCAGCUUGCUGUUACGAUUUGCAGACAACACCUUCUCAGGCAGCUACAUCACCACAAUCGGAGUGGAUUUCAAGAUCCGGACUGUGGAGAUCAAUGGGGAGAAGGUGAAGCUGCAGAUCUGGGACACAGCGGGGCAAGAGCGCUUUCGUACCAUCACCUCCACGUACUAUCGGGGGACCCAUGGGGUCAUUGUGGUUUACGACGUCACUAGUGCCGAGUCCUUUGUUAAUGUCAAACGAUGGCUUCAUGAAAUCAACCAGAACUGUGACGAUGUGUGCCGAAUAUUAGUGGGUAAUAAGAAUGACGAUCCUGAGCGGAAGGUGGUAGAGACAGAAGACGCCUACAAAUUUGCUGGGCAGAUGGGGAUCCAGCUCUUUGAGACCAGUGCCAAGGAGAAUGUCAACGUGGAAGAGAUGUUCAACUGCAUCACGGAGCUGGUUCUACGAGCAAAGAAAGACAACUUGGCAAAACAGCAGCAGCAACAACAGAACGAUGUGGUGAAGCUCACGAAAAACAGUAAACGAAAGAAACGCUGCUGCUAAUGCCCCAGUCCACCGCAGAGACUGCACUGCACCCUCCCCAGCCCGAGGCCUCGGAGGCUCCUCGGGGACAGUCUCAGUUUAGUGCCGUUAUUUAAAGAAUUCUCUCCACGUUUUUUGUACCGGGAGGCGCCAUCGGCACUUCCUCCCCUUUCCCCUCGAGUGCCAAGAAGGUGUUGGACAAGCCUGCCCUUCCCACUGGUGCCCAUCUCCCUGCUGAGGCGCCUGGACCUGUCGAGGACGCUGCCAGCUGAGCGGACUGAUUAACCAGUUUGUACAUAGUGUAUAUUGCAUUAACCAGCUGCACACCCUCAGCCUGCUCUGGCUUUUGCCUCCUUCCUGCCAACCUGCUGCAACAGACCCUCCCAAGCCCUCCUGUCCCAUCUCGACGGCAGCUUCCCGAGGAGCCAGCCUCAUGUCCUAGCUGAGUCUUUGGCCAACCUGGGCCCGUGGAGUGCACUCUACAUGGUUCCUGCCCUACAGCUGCUCUGGGAGCUGGGGAACCUGGCUCCACACAGGCCCCGCCCUCGGCUGGCCCUAGGCCUUCAGUUCCACAGAGGAAGUCAGUCUUGCCCAUUUGGCCAACAGGUUUCUCAUUCUGCCUUCUAGAUGCCUCUGCUACAAACCAGGGGAGCUGUGGCUUCUCACUUACCCAACAUGUUUCAGUUCCAGCAGAAAGGACACUUGGUUCCCUCUCCCCUAAAGGAUCACGUAACUGGGAAGAACUGAUUUGGACACCAUGAUGUGUGUUUUAGAUUUCCUUUCCUAGGCGAUUUCCAGGCAGUCCUGACCGGACAAUCAUCACAGAUUACUGCAGAUUUUCCAUGUUAACACUGUGGACGGGUUUUUAAUCAAUAAAACUGGGGCUUUCUUCUCACCUGUCUCUCCACUUGUCCAGAUUGUCAAAAGCUGGGGUUCUGUGCGACAGGCCUGUGUUUCUGAGCUCCAGGCUGGGUUUGGGGGCUGUGGGCCUAGGAAGGUAGGUGCCGCGGAGGACACUUCAGGGCCAAGUAGUAGGCGGCUCCGUAUGAUCCAGGUGAGCUGGGAGUUGAGGCAGAUUCUGUUUUCAGGACUGUCUUGGCUGAUGGGGCAGAAGGGGUCACACAUGCUUCUGAGCAUGUGGGAACCAGUGUGGAGGUGUUUGCCAAUUCAAGCAAUAAGAGGGUGAUCUUGGAGCAUCCAGCCCAAGUUAGGUGCCUCUGUGGUUUCUGGCACGUGCCUGUUAAGGCCCAGGUGAUGGGUGACUUGGUGACAACAGCGUGCCUGUCCCGCAGAGUGUCACAUGCAUGAGUGGGGUGGGGUAGGGUGAGGGUGGGGGUGGGGGACUCAGGGCUCAACUGGUGUCCUGGUGGACCUGAUGUGAAACUCCUGUCAACCAACAAACUUUUAAAUGGUUUGCUAGGAUUAUUUCUGUAUUGAAAGUUUCUAAUUAUGCUUUUUAAAAAAAAUACUAAAAAUAAAGGUUCAAGCUGCCAAAUUUC